rnacentral:rRNA from 1 species
AGUUGACCUCGGAUCAGGUAGGAAUACCCGCUGAACUUAAGCAUAUCAAUAGCGGAGGA